UGAGGAAUAUUGGUCAAUGGGCGAGAGCCUGAACCAGCCAAGUAGCGUGCAGGAUGACGGCCCUAGGGGUUGUAAACUGCUGUUAUAUGGGAAUAAAGUGAGGGACGUGUCCCAUAUUGCAUGAACCAUACGAAUAAGGACCGGCUAAUUCCGUGCCAGCAGCCGCGGUAAUACGGAAGGUCCAGGCGUUAUCCGGAUUUAUUGGGUUUAAAGGGAGCGUAGGCUGUUUGUUAAGCGUGUUGUGAAAUGUAAGAGCUCAACUUUUAGAUUGCAGCGCGAACUGGCAGACUUGAGUGCGCACAACGUAGGCGGAAUUCAUGGUGUAGCGGUGAAAUGCUUAGAUAUCAUGACGAACUCCGAUUGCGAAGGCAGCUUACGGGAGCGCAACUGACGCUAAAGCUCGAAGGUGCGGGUAUCGAACAGG
rnacentral:rRNA from 1 species